GAGCAAACAGGUGGAGCUGCAAUGUAGCCAGUAGGAUUCAACCUGACUUGAACGCCCAGCUAGAGUUAUGAUCGUAUGACAUACUCGAAGCGUGCYUGAAGUCCUUGUUGGGUGCACUUCCUACUGGUGAGCGCUACGACCGGUUACUGUGCUGCUGGGCUUUCCAAACUGCCGACCAGGUCUUCGGACCUGGUGUACCCGUCUGGUAAGCUCGGCUAGUUAUGGUGACCGUGGAUCUGCYGCAACGGCUUGUCGCUGGCGCUGUAGUUUCGGUAAGAUUUGAAACUCCAUGCCCUGCUUGCAGGACUUGGUAACCCUUCUUGCCGUGCUGCAGUGUUUCAGCGAAGUUGSAUAAGGUCUGKGGYGUCCGUGUCAGCUUCCCMCCUGACCCGUCUUGAAACACGGACCAAGGAGYCUAACAUGUGCGCAAGUCAUUGGCUUGUAAAGUCAAAGGCGAAAUGAAAGUGAAGGUUGAUUCUGUCAGCUGAUGUGGGAUCCGUGCCUUGAGCGCGGCGCACCACAGCCCCGUUUCAUCUGCUUGUCAGGGAAGCGGAGGCAGAGCGUACACGUUGGGACCCGAAAGAUGGUGAACUAUGCCUGAGCAAGGCGAAGCCAGRRGAAAUYCUGGUGGAGGCCUGUAGCGGUUCUGACGUGCAAAU
rnacentral:rRNA from 1 species